rnacentral:lncRNA from 1 species
ACGUCUAAAGUUCCUUCAAUUCACCCUUGCAAAAGAAUUAGAGUACUCAAUAAACAUCAUUGAAGAAGUAUUUGACAUGUUUUUUUGACAAAUAAAUAGAGACUAGAAGAAGGAAGCGCCCUACCAGGCGGAUGUACCAGCCACUUAUACACAGACCUUAAUUAAAUAUUUUCUCUAUAAAUAAUAGGAAAGUACUCUAUACCUUUGCACUUAAUUGGUGCCUACUGUCUUGCUUUACCAUCUCCAUAAGCACUGUUUGCAGUUCAUCAGCUCUGCAAAAACAAAAGCAAGCAAGGAAAAAGGUAAAACAACAAUUCAAUUAAAAAGAAAAUAUCCAACCUUCUUUCUGAGACCGUUACAUGUCUAGCCCUAUCUGGAGUUGACUGUCCAGUGGAGUGUCACCUGGUGCAUCAUAGUCAUCAAUUUAGACUUUAAAAUACAUAUUCUAUCAAUUUUGUUGUCACGAAACAAAUCAUAUUCCUUACAAAGCAUGCAUCUCAUAGAAUGCAAGAAAACAAAGAAUAGUAAAAAAUACAGAUGAGUACACCACCUAACUUUUUAAAUUAUAUUUCCUAUUAAGUGUCAAAAUUUCUAUCAAAAGUUACUCUAGAUUUACCUUUGAACAAUAGACACUGCAAAGAGCUUCAUGCAAAAGUCAACUCCCGUAUAAACAGAUCCUGAAAUGCAGGCCAAACAAUCAUGAUACAAUAGAUUUCAAACAUUCCAAUUCAUUUUCUAUCCUAAAAUAUGGAACAGUAGAGGCUAGUGCUGGAUGAAAUGAAAAGUAGAUAGAACAAUCAACAAAUAAUCUUCUACGAAGACCCAGAACUUCCAAGAGAUUCUUUUGCAUGUGCACUGGGAAGAACUCUGGUACUUCAUAACAAUGAAAAUAGGAUGUGGCAUUUUUAUGGGCAACCACAAUGUUCAACUAUCUAUAUAUUAUAUAGCGCAAAGCAUAAUAAGUAAAGUAACAGAAAAAUUCAGUGAUAAUUUAUUUCAAAAACAUUAAGAAACACUCGUUAAUGAAAUAUGUACCAGAACUUAAUAGUUUCGGAAAGGCCACAAAUAUGCAUAGAAAAUAGCAAAUGCUAUGUUCAUACAGUAGUGUUAUAGUCCCAAUUUUGCUGAAACAUGUUCCUUCCCUUUGCUCUGAAAUGAUGACAUCAGAUUCAUCGAUCUAACAAAACAAUGACCAAUGAUUUGUAUCAUAAGAAGAGUGCAAAGUAAAAUAAAAUAAUAAUUCAUUAGGGUCUGGCACAUAAAAGAAUAGUAAAUAAAAACCAAUAACAUGACAAUGAAAUUAACCAGGACACUUUUUUUCUUCAAUGGAGUGGGGGAGUUUUUUGGGUGGGGUAGGCAGGGGGAUGACAACAUGUGGUUGAGGUCUUGAUAGUAAAUGGCUACUCUAAUGCAAAUCAAGGAAGCAUAUGUUAGUCCCCAUGUCAUUGAGUCUGUAUUAAUCUAGUUGAACCAAUUAUGUGUGUGGGGCAUAGAUGUAGGUGUGCCCGGUGCUGUGCCUGAGCCCCUACCCGCUCUGGUGGUUGCCCCGACGUGGCGUCGCGCCGCGCAUGCCCACGGUCAAUAGAACGUGGGGCACGUCGUGCGUCAGGGGCAAAGGCUGCAAGCCUAUGUGACUCUGUGUUCAGUGUUUUAAUAACAUAUCUGCUAGAAUGGUAAUGGUGGGGUAUGAGCCAGGAUCAAAAGGGUACAGGAUGUAAGAUCCCUCUACUAACAAACUUGUGAUUAGCAGAGAUGUUAAGUUUGAAGAGGGAAUGGGAUGGAAUUGGGGAGAACUGGAGGAUAGUCAAAAUACUCAGUUGCCUGAUGAAAAUUCAGAAACUACAGUCUUUCAGUUUCAGUUUAAUGCUCCUGAUGAAGCAAUCCAAGACCCAAGUACAUCUGAUCAAGUUGGUGAGAAUUCAGGGGGGAAUCAUCUGCCACCUCCCUCACCACUGACUCCAUAGGUGCAGCAUUCAACAUCAGCUUCAGGUUCAGCUGGAAACAACCUUCAAAAUUCUGAUAACACUGAAAGUUCAGGCAUGGUUCAACUGAGAUACAGAAAUUUAUCAGACUUGUUUGAUGCUACAGAAGAGAUUCAUGACUUCGAAUACAGUCUGAUGUGUAUGCUUGCUGUUGAUGAAUCAGUGUCUGUUGAAAGUGCUUUAGUAGAUCCGAAUUGGUGAGUAGCUAUGAACUCAGAAUUACAAGCAAUAGAAGCUAACAAGACAUGGAGUUGGUCAGAACUGCCAAAUGGACAGAAAGCCAUAGGAAUGAAGUGGGUUUGUAAACUCAAGAAGAAUGCAGCAGGAGAAGUUGUAAAACAUAAGGCUAGACUUGUUGCAAUGGGAUAUUCCCAGAGAGAAGGGAUAGACUUUGAUGAAGUGUUUGCUCCAGUUGCCAGAUUGGAAACAGUAAGAGUCCUACUUGCUCUGGCAGCACAUGGUAAAUGGCAGAUUCAUCACAUGGAUGUAAAAACAGCUUUCUUGAACGGUGAUUUGAGAGAGGAAGUAUAUGUGUCCCAGCCACCAGGCUUCCAAGAUCUAGGGAAGGUUAAGAAGGUCCUGAAAUUACACAAGGCCCUAUAUGGUUUGAAACAGGCACCCAGGGCUUGGAAUACAAUAUUGGACAGUGAACUGAUCUCUUUGGGUUUUGAAAAAUGCAGUGUGGAACAUGCUGUUUACAGAAAGGGAGUUGGUGACUCCCUUUUGGUGGUGGGAGUAUAUGUUGAUGAUCUCAUAAUCUGUGGACCAUCAGUAGUAAAAAUAGAAGAAUUCAAGAGGCAGAUGAUGCACACUUUCAACAUGAGUGACCUUGGUUUGCUGAGUUACUACUUGGGCAUGGAAGUUACACAGAAGGAGGGUGAGAUAUUAAUCUGUCAAAGUUCAUAUGCAGCAAAGAUUCUUGAGCUGUGUCACAUGACUGGUUGCAACCCCACUGAUACUCCUAUGGAACAAAGAAUAAAACUCACUGCUGCUAAGAAAGGGACUGAAAAGGAUGUUACUAGAUACAGGAGUGUGAUUGGUAGUCUGAGAUACCUAGUGAACACAAGACCUGACUUAUCCUUUGCUGUUGGACUUGUGAGCAGGUUCAUGGAAGGUCCUAACAAAGAGCACUGGACAACAAUUAAAAGAAUUGUGAGGUAUAUAGCAGGAACACUGAACUAUGGGAUAAAACUCAAUAGAACGUGGGGCACGUCGUGCGUCGGGGGCAAAGGCUGCAAGCCUAUGUGACUCUGUGUUUAGUGUUUUAAUAGCAGAGUGUGGGGGCUCGCAUGUGUUGUGCGGUUGCCCAGAAACAAAAGUUCUCUCUGUUCUUGCGUUUACCUGAGAAGCAGCCACGCAGACCGCGCUCCUCCACCGCUGCAGCUCGUCGCGUUCAACGUCGAUCGCUGGCCGAGGACCAACAGCAUAACACUGCUAAUCAUAUGAAGUAUGCCAAUGUACACCAUUUACCAUGCGUAGCUUAUUUUAAAGCAAAAGGCUUCAAAUGUACAUGUAUACUAACAAAUUUAAUAAGUUGGCGCCAAUAUCUAGAGUAUGAAAUGAUAACAGAGAACUGCAAUAGCAUUCCUAAAAAAAUAAAGAGAAAGCUUUCAUAACAGAAAUUCAGUCUGAUCACAAUAAAUAACAUCCACGGCAUGCCACCAAGUCUGAUCACAAAACAGCAAAGGUCUCUUAAUUUACAAGGGGGGGCACUACUGGCUUGGCCGGACAAAAUUGAUGAAAGCAAGGCAUCGAAAUUGCAAAUUAUCUAUGUAAUUUCAGUAAGUUAUCGUACAGAUUUCUCCAAAUCAACACUAAUUCCCAUACUAAUCUUGUUUUUCGCUUCUCAUACCCACAACAUCUAAUUACACGAACAUGAAGCUAGAACAUCACAACAUAAUUGCCAAAAAAAACAAAGCAGCAUGGACAUGUUAACUAGAAUUUUACCUUGAACAGGCAUUUCAUCAAACACCUAAACUACAAGGGUCCUCACCUUAUUGGGGAAAGAGACCUGAGUCGUUGGGUGUGUAUAGGAGAUUGCAGACUGCCGCGGCCAGCAGUGUUGGAGAUUGGAGAAACC